UUAAGCGACUAAGCGUACACGGUGGAUGCCCUGGCAGUCAGAGGCGAUGAAGGGCGUGCUAAUCUGCGAUAAGCGCCGGUAAGGUGAUAUGAACCGUUAUAACCGGCGAUACCCGAAUGGGGAAACCCAGUGUGAUUCGUCACACUAUCAUUAACUGAAUCCAUAGGUUAAUGAGGCGAACCGGGGGAACUGAAACAUCUAAGUACCCCGAGGAAAAGAAAUCAACCGAGAUUCCCCCAGUAGCGGCGAGCGAACGGGGAGGAGCCCAGAGCCUGAAUCAGCAUGUGUGUUAGUGGAAGCGUCUGGAAAGGCGCGCGAUACAGGGUGACAGCCCCGUACACAAAAGCGCAUGUGCUGUGAGCUCGAUGAGUAGGGCGGGACACGUGGUAUCCUGUCUGAAUAUGGGGGGACCAUCCUCCAAGGCUAAAUACUCCUGACUGACCGAUAGUGAACCAGUACCGUGAGGGAAAGGCGAAAAGAACCCCGGCGAGGGGAGUGAAAAAGAACCUGAAACCGUGUACGUACAAGCAGUGGGAGCACAGGUUUACCUGUGUGACUGCGUACCUUUUGUAUAAUGGGUCAGCGACUUAUAUUCUGUAGCAAGGUUAACCGUAUAGGGGAGCCGGAGGGAAACCGAGUCUUAAUUGGGCGUUAAGUUGCAGGGUAUAGACCCGAAACCCGGUGAUCUAGCCAUGGGCAGGUUGAAGGUUGGGUAACACUAACUGGAGGACCGAACCGACUAAUGUUGAAAAAUUAGCGGAUGACCUGUGGCUGGGGGUGAAAGGCCAAUCAAACCGGGAGAUAGCUGGUUCUCCCCGAAAGCUAUUUAGGUAGCGCCUCGUGAAUUCAUCUCCGGGGGUAGAGCACUGUUUCGGCUAGGGGGCCAUCCCGGCUUACCAACCCGAUGCAAACUGCGAAUACCGGAGAAUGUUAUCACGGGAGACACACGGCGGGUGCUAACGUCCGUCGUGAAGAGGGAAACAACCCAGACCGCCAGCUAAGGUCCCAAAGUCAUGGUUAAGUGGGAAACGAUGUGGGAAGGCCCAGACAGCCAGGAUGUUGGCUUAGAAGCAGCCAUCAUUUAAAGAAAGCGUAAUAGCUCACUGGUCGAGUCGGCCUGCGCGGAAGAUGUAACGGGGCUAAACCAUGCACCGAAGCUGCGGCAGCGAACGUAUCACCCAAGACAACUUUACGGAGUUGACGAUUGACGGAGCGAAGCGACGUCAAAGCGUUCAUUAAAGUCGAGUUGGCUUAGGGAUACGUUCGUUGGGUAGGGGAGCGUUCUGUAAGCCUGUGAAGGUGUGUCGUGAGGCAUGCUGGAGGUAUCAGAAGUGCGAAUGCUGACAUAAGUAACGAUAAAGCGGGUGAAAAGCCCGCUCGCCGGAAGACCAAGGGUUCCUGUCCAACGUUAAUCGGGGCAGGGUGAGUCGACCCCUAAGGCGAGGCCGAAAGGCGUAGUCGAUGGGAAACGGGUUAAUAUUCCCGUACUUGGUGUUACUGCGAAGGGGGGACGGAGAAGGCUAUGUUGGCCGGGCGACGGUUGUCCCGGUUUAAGCGUGUAGGUGUGUGUUCCAGGUAAAUCCGGUUCACUUUAACACUGAGGCGUGACGACGAGGCACUACGGUGCUGAAGCAACAAAUGCCCUGCUUCCAGGAAAAGCCUCUAAGCAUCAGGUAACAUCAAAUCGUACCCCAAACCGACACAGGUGGUCAGGUAGAGAAUACCAAGGCGCUUGAGAGAACUCGGGUGAAGGAACUAGGCAAAAUGGUGCCGUAACUUCGGGAGAAGGCACGCUGACACGUAGGUGAAGUGAUUUACUCAUGGAGCUGAAGUCAGUCGAAGAUACCAGCUGGCUGCAACUGUUUAUUAAAAACACAGCACUGUGCAAACACGAAAGUGGACGUAUACGGUGUGACGCCUGCCCGGUGCCGGAAGGUUAAUUGAUGGGGUCAGCGCAAGCGAAGCUCCUGAUCGAAGCCCCGGUAAACGGCGGCCGUAACUAUAACGGUCCUAAGGUAGCGAAAUUCCUUGUCGGGUAAGUUCCGACCUGCACGAAUGGCGUAAUGAUGGCCAGGCUGUCUCCACCCGAGACUCAGUGAAAUUGAACUCGCUGUGAAGAUGCAGUGUACCCGCGGCAAGACGGAAAGACCCCGUGAACCUUUACUAUAGCUUGACACUGAACAUUGAGCCUUGAUGUGUAGGAUAGGUGGGAGGCUUUGAAGUGUGGACGCCAGUCUGCAUGGAGCCGACCUUGAAAUACCACCCUUUAAUGUUUGAUGUUCUAACGUGGACCCGUAAUCCGGGUUGCGGACAGUGUCUGGUGGGUAGUUUGACUGGGGCGGUCUCCUCCUAAAGAGUAACGGAGGAGCACGAAGGUUGGCUAAUCCUGGUCGGACAUCAGGAGGUUAGUGCAAUGGCAUAAGCCAGCUUGACUGCGAGCGUGACGGCGCGAGCAGGUGCGAAAGCAGGUCAUAGUGAUCCGGUGGUUCUGAAUGGAAGGGCCAUCGCUCAACGGAUAAAAGGUACUCCGGGGAUAACAGGCUGAUACCGCCCAAGAGUUCAUAUCGACGGCGGUGUUUGGCACCUCGAUGUCGGCUCAUCACAUCCUGGGGCUGAAGUAGGUCCCAAGGGUAUGGCUGUUCGCCAUUUAAAGUGGUACGCGAGCUGGGUUUAGAACGUCGUGAGACAGUUCGGUCCCUAUCUGCCGUGGGCGCUGGAGAACUGAGGGGGGCUGCUCCUAGUACGAGAGGACCGGAGUGGACGCAUCACUGGUGUUCGGGUUGUCAUGCCAAUGGCACUGCCCGGUAGCUAAAUGCGGAAGAGAUAAGUGCUGAAAGCAUCUAAGCACGAAACUUGCCCCGAGAUGAGUUCUCCCUGAGACUUAGAGUCUCCUGAAGGAACGUUGAAGACGACGACGUUGAUAGGCCGGGUGUGUAAGCGCAGCGAUGCGUUGAGCUAACCGGUACUAAUGAACCGUGAGGCUUAACCUU
rnacentral:rRNA from 4 species